GUCGAGGGGCAGCGGGGGUGCAGGCUUGCCUGCGCCUGCCGGCGACCGGCGCACGGGUGAGUAACACGUAUGGAACCUGCCCGCCACAGGGGGAUAACCCGGGGAAACCCGGCCUAAUACCCCAUGCCGUCCGGACCGGGCAUCCGGUCCGGGCGAAAGGAGGAAUCCGGUGGCGGCUGGGCAUGCGGCGCAUUAGCUUGACGGCGGGGUAACGGCCCACCGUGGCGACGAUGCGUAGGGGUUCUGAGAGGAAGGCCCCCCACACUGGAACUGAGACACGGUCCAGACUCCUACGGGAGGCAGCAGUGAGGAAUAUUGGUCAAUGGGCGGAAGCCUGAACCAGCCAAGUCGCGUGAGGGAAUAAGGCCCUACGGGUCGUAAACCUCUUUUGCCGGGGAGCAAGGGCCGGGACGCGUCCCGGCCCGGAGAGUACCCGGAGAAAAAGCAUCGGCUAACUCCGUGCCAGCAGCCGCGGUAAUACGGAGGAUGCGAGCGUUAUCCGGAUUUAUUGGGUUUAAAGGGUGCGUAGGCGGGCUUUUAAGUCAGCGGUAAAAAUUCGGGGCUCAACCCCGUCCGGCCGUUGAAACUGGGGGCCUUGAGUGGGCGAGAAGAAGGCGGAAUGCGUGGUGUAGCGGUGAAAUGCAUAGAUAUCACGCAGAACCCCGAUUGCGAAGGCAGCCUUCCGGCGCCCUACUGACGCUGAGGCACGGAAGUGCGGGGAUCGAACAGGAUUAGAUACCCUGGUAGUCCGCACAGUAAACGAUGGGUGCCAGCUG
rnacentral:rRNA from 1 species